rnacentral:rRNA from 1 species
GAACUGAAGAGUUUGAUCAUGGCUCAGAUUGAACGCUGGCGGCAGGCCUAACACAUGCAAGUCGAGCGGAUGAGAAGAGCUUGCUCUUCGAUUCAGCGGCGGACGGGUGAGUAAUACCUAGGAAUCUGCCUGGUAGUGGGGGACAACGUUUCGAAAGGAACGCUAAUACCGCAUACGUCCUACGGGAGAAAGCAGGGGACCUUCGGGCCUUGCGCUAUCAGAUGAGCCUAGGUCGGAUUAGCUAGUUGGUGAGGUAAUGGCUCACCAAGGCUACGAUCCGUAACUGGUCUGAGAGGAUGAUCAGUCACACUGGAACUGAGACACGGUCCAGACUCCUACGGGAGGCAGCAGUGGGGAAUAUUGGACAAUGGGCGAAAGCCUGAUCCAGCCAUGCCGCGUGUGUGAAGAAGGUCUUCGGAUUGUAAAGCACUUUAAGUUGGGAGGAAGGGCAGUAAGCGAAUACCUUGCUGUUUUGACGUUACCGACAGAAUAAGCACCGGCUAACUCUGUGCCAGCAGCCGCGGUAAUACAGAGGGUGCAAGCGUUAAUCGGAAUUACUGGGCGUAAAGCGCGCGUAGGUGGUUCGU